rnacentral:rRNA from 1 species
GACGAACGCUGGCGGCGUGCCUAAUACAUGCAAGUUGAGCGAUGAAGAUUGGUGCUUGCACCAAUUUGAAGAGCAGCGAACGGGUGAGUAACGCGUGGGGAAUCUGCCUUUGAGCGGGGGACAACAUUUGGAAACGAAUGAUAAUACCGCAUAACAACUUUAAACAUAAGUUUUAAGUUUGAAAGAUGCAAUUGCAUCACUCAAAGAUGAUCCCGCGUUGUAUUAGCUAGUUGGUGAGGUAAAGGCUCACCAAGGCGAUGAUACAUAGCCGACCUGAGAGGGUGAUCGGCCACAUUGGGACUGAGACACGGCCCAAACUCCUACGGGAGGCAGCAGUAGGGAAUCUUCGGCAAUGGACGAAAGUCUGACCGAGCAACGCCGCGUGAGUGAAGAAGGUUUUCGGAUCGUAAAACUCUGUUGGUAGAGAAGAACGUUGGUGAGAGUGGAAAGCUCAUCAAGUGACGGUAACUACCCAGAAAGGGACGGCUAACUACGUG